GGGGAAUAUUGGACAAUGGGCGCAAGCCUGAUCCAGCCAUACCGUGUGGGUGAAGAAGGCCUUCGGGUUGUAAAGCCCUUUUGUUGGGAAAGAAAUCCAGCUGGCUAAUACCCGGUUGGGAUGACGGUACCCAAAGAAUAAGCACCGGCUAACUUCGUGCCAGCAGCCGCGGUAAUACGAAGGGUGCAAGCGUUACUCGGAAUUACUGGGCGUAAAGCGUGCGUAGGUGGUCGUUUAAGUCCGUUGUGAAAGCCCUGGGCUCAACCUGGGAACUGCAGUGGAUACUGGACGACUAGAGUGUGGUAGAGGGUAGCGGAAUUCCUGGUGUAGCAGUGAAAUGCGUAGAGAUCAGGAGGAACAUCCAUGGCGAAGGCAGCUACCUGGACCAACACUGACACUGAGGCACGAAAGCGUGGGGAGCAAACAGGAUUAGAUACCCUGGUAGUCCACGCCCUAAACGAUGCGAACUGGAUGUUGGGUGCAAUUUGGCACGCAGUAUCGAAGCUAACGCGUUAAGUUCGCCGCCUGGGGAGUACGGUCGCAAGACUGAAACUCAAAGGAAUUGACGGC
rnacentral:rRNA from 1 species